GGUCAGGGAUGAGCUCGCGGCCUAUCAGCUAGUUGGUGAGGUAAUGGCUCACCAAGGCGUCGACGGGUAGCCGGCCUGAGAGGGUGACCGGCCACACUGGGACUGAGACACGGCCCAGACUCCUACGGGAGGCAGCAGUGGGGAAUAUUGCACAAUGGGCGCAAGCCUGAUGCAGCAACGCCGCGUGAGGGACGACGGCCUUCGGGUUGUAAACCUCUUUUAGCAGGGAAGAAGCGAAAGUGACGGUACCUGCAGAAAAAGCACCGGCUAACUACGUGCCAGCAGCCGCGGUAAUACGUAGGGUGCAAGCGUUAUCCGGAAUUAUUGGGCGUAAAGAGCUCGUAGGCGGUUUGUCGCGUCUGCUGUGAAAACCCGAGGCUCAACCUCGGGCCUGCAGUGGGUACGGGCAGACUAGAGUGCGGUAGGGGAGAUUGGAAUUCCUGGUGUAGCGGUGGAAUGCGCAGAUAUCAGGAGGAACACCGAUGGCGAAGGCAGAUCUCUGGGCCGUAACUGACGCUGAGGAGCGAAAGGGUGGGGAGCAAACAGGCUUAGAUACCCUGGUAGUCCACCCCGUAAACGUUGGGAACUAGUUGUGGGGUCCAUUCCACGGAUUCCGUGACGCAGCUAACGC
rnacentral:rRNA from 1 species